ensembl:snoRNA
GCACUGUGUUUGAACCUCUUUGGUGUUCCUCUGUGACCUCUGGGGCCAAGCUGCAGUGCCGAAGCAAAGGACUGUUCAUAACUGGAGCAUUCUGGAGCAACACCUGAUUGCUUUUUUACAAGCCACAGCCUAA